UGGGGAAUAUUGCACAAUGGGCGAAAGCCUGAUGCAGCAACGCCGCGUGAGUGAUGAAGGCCUUCGGGUUGUAAAGCUCUGUCUUCUGGGACGAUAAUGACGGUACCAGAGGAGGAAGCCACGGCUAACUACGUGCCAGCAGCCGCGGUAAUACGUAGGUGGCAAGCGUUGUCCGGAUUUACUGGGCGUAAAGGAUGCGUAGGCGGAUACUUAAGUCAGAUGUGAAAAUCCCGGGCUUAACUUGGGAACUGCACUUGAAACUGGGUAUCUAGAGUGCGGGAGAGGAAAGUGGAAUUCCUAGUGUAGCGGUGAAAUGCGUAGAGAUUAGGAAGAACACCUGUGGCGAAGGCGACUUUCUGGACCGUAACUGACGCUGAGGCAUGAAAGCGUGGGGAGCAAACA
rnacentral:rRNA from 1 species